CAGCAGCCGCGGUAAUACGUAGGUGGCAAGCGUUGUCCGGAAUUAUUGGGCGUAAAGGGCUCGCAGGCGGUCUCUUAAGUCUGAUGUGUAAGCCUCCGGCUCAACCGGGGAGGGUCAUUGGAAACUGGGAAACUUAAGUGCAGAAGAGGAGAGUGGAAUUCCACGUGUAGCGGUGAAAUGCGUAGAGAUGUGGAGGAACACCAGUGACGAAGGCGACUCUCUGGUCUGUAACUGACGCUGAGGAGCGAAAGCGUGGGGAGCGAACAGGAUUAGAUACCCCAGUAGUCCCUGUCUCUUAUAA
rnacentral:rRNA from 1 species